AGAGUUUGAUCCUGGCUCAGAAUCAACGCUGGCGGCGUGCCUAACACAUGCAAGUCGAGCGCGAAAGGGGGGGUAACCCCCCGAGUAGAGCGGCGAACGGGUGAGUAACGCGUGGGUCAUCUACCUUCGAGUGGGGAAUAACAGCGGGAAACUGCUGCUAAUACCGCAUGACAUCGCCGGGCCUCUGGCCUGGCGAUCAAAGCCGGGGACCGCAAGGCCUGGCGCUUGAAGAGGAGCCCGCGUCCGAUUAGCUAGUUGGCGAGGUAACGGCCCACCAAGGCGACGACGGGUAGCUGGUCUGAGAGGACGGCCAGCCACACUGGGACUGAGACACGGCCCAGACUCCUACGGGAGGCAGCAGUGGGGAAUCUUGCGCAAUGGGCGAAAGCCUGACGCAGCGACCCCGCGUGGGGGAUGAAGGCCCUCGGGUUGUAAACCCCUUUCGGCAGGGACGAAGCCGCAAGGUGACGGUACCUGCAGAAGAAGCUCCGGCUAACUACGUGCCAGCAGCCGCGGUAAGACGUAGGGAGCGAGCGUUGUCCGGAUUCAUUGGGCGUAAAGAGCGCGUAGGCGGCCGUGCAAGUCGGUUGUGAAAUCCUGGGGCUCAACCCCGGAACUGCGUCCGAUACUCCCGAGCUGGAGGCAGGUAGGGGAGAUCGGAAUUCCUGGUGUAGCGGUGAAAUGCGCAGAUAUCAGGAGGAACACCGGUGGCGAAGGCGGAUCUCUGGGCCUUGCCUGACGCUGAGGCGCGAAAGCUAGGGGAGCGAACAGGAUUAGAUACCCUGGUAGUCCUAGCCGUAAACGUUGGGUGCUAGGUGUGGGCGGAUAUCGACCCCGUCCGUGCCGAAGCUAACGCAUUAAGCACCCCGCCUGGGGAGUACGGCCGCAAGGCUAAAACUCAAAGGAAUUGACGG
rnacentral:rRNA from 1 species